UACAGAGGUCCCAAGCGUUGUUCGGAUUCAUUGGGCGUAAAGGGUGCGUAGGUGGCGCUGUAAGUCAGGUGUGAAAUUUCGGAGCUUAACUCCGAAACUGCAUUUGAUACUGCGGUGCUUGAGGACUGGAGAGGAGACUGGAAUUUACGGUGUAGCAGUGAAAUGCGUAGAUAUCGUAAGGAAGACCAGUGGCGAAGGCGGGUCUCUGGACAGUUCCUGACACUGAGGCACGAAGGCCAGGGGAGCAAACGGG
rnacentral:rRNA from 1 species